AGUGAACGCUGGCGGUAGGCCUAACACAUGCAAGUCGAACGGCAGUACAGUAAGUGCUUGUUCUUACGGGUGGCGAGUGUCGGACGGGUGAGGAAUACAUCGGCAUCUACUUUUUCGUGGGGGUUCACGUAGGGAAACUUACGAUAAUACCGCAUACGCCCUACGGGUGAAAGCAGGGGAUCUUCGGACUUUGCGCGAUUGCAUGGGUCGAUGUCGGAUUAGCUAGUUGGGGGGGUAUAGGCCCACCAAGGCGCUGAUACGUAGCUGGUCUGAGAGGGAGAUCAGCCAGACUGGAACUGAGACACGGUCCAGACACCUACGGUAGGCAACAGUGGGGAAUAUUGGACAAUGGGGGCAAGCCUGAUCCAGCCAUACCGCGGGAGUGAAGAAGGCCUUCGGGUUGGAAAGCCCUGUUGUUGGGAGAGAAAAGCAGCAGGAUAAUACCCCGCGGUUGUGACGGUACCCAAAGAAGAAGCACCGGCUAACUACGUG
rnacentral:rRNA from 1 species